AAUAAAUAGGUUCUCUGCUGCUCGAUGGCUAUCCUCCUGCUACUCGAGUUCCAAUUGACUUUGGAAAACCUGAUAUUAAGACUCCAGAAAGAUGUCUUCCCAACAUCAGCAGUGCAAGCAGCCCUGUCAGCCACCACCAGUGUGCACACCUAAGUGUCCUGACCCUUGCCCACCUUGCAAGUGUCCAGACCCUUGCCGACCUGUAAAGUGCCCUGACCCAUGCGUACCUCAGCAGUGCAAGCAGAAAUGCCCUCCUGGGGCACCUGCUCAUCAUUGCUAGCAGAAGUGCCCACCCAAGAGGAUGUAAGAGCUUGAGCUUUUAUCUGCAUCUGGAAAGGAUAAGGACAAUCGACUCAACUAGCUCCAGAGCUCCACCUUCCUCUUCUCUUCAAAGCCUAUCAUGGAUACGGAAGAAGCUUCUCCACCCUUCAGCCUCAAUAUGCGUGUGGUGCUUCCUGACAGACAGAGGUUUCCUAUCUGAGGCUGCUAAAUGGUUAGCCUCUCAGAGGGGCCCUAGAAAGUAUAGCAGAACCUCAGAAAGAAGAGCAGCAGCUCUCCUCCUGGGCACCCUCUGAGGAUUCUCUCGCUGUCUUCUGUGUCGGUCGGUCACCUGGGCAUGGGUUUCUACCAGCUGAGCAAUUGUUACUUAUCCUCCACUUCCUGAAUAAAAUACAAUUUAUUUGUGUGA